CCUACGGGAGGCAGCAGUGGGGAAUAUUGGACAAUGGGCGAAAGCCUGAUCCAGCCAUGCCGCGUGUGUGAAGAAGGCCUUCGGGUUGUAAAGCACUUUCAGUGGGGAAGAAAGCCUUGGGGCUAAUACCCUCGAGGAAGGACAUCACCCACAGAAGAAGCACCGGCUAACUCCGUGCCAGCAGCCGCGGUAAUACGGAGGGUGCGAGCGUUAAUCGGAAUUACUGGGCGUAAAGCGCGCGUAGGCGGUCUGAUAAGCCGGUUGUGAAAGCCCCGGGCUCAACCUGGGAACGGCAUCCGGAACUGUCAGGCUAGAGUGCAGGAGAGGAAGGUAGAAUUCCCGGUGUAGCGGUGAAAUGCGUAGAGAUCGGGAGGAAUACCAGUGGCGAAGGCGGCCUUCUGGACUGACACUGACGCUGAGGUGCGAAAGCGUGGCUAGCAAACAGGAUUAGAUACCCUGGUAGUC
rnacentral:rRNA from 1 species